UUCCUGCUUGCAGAAUCUGCUAAGCUCAGCAACCUGCAAAAUCCUUCGGCAAGCAUGGAUUCAGUUUCAUUUAACUUUCAAAAAGUCAAGGAACUCUUCCUCAUUAAUAUCCCACAGUUGCUGCUGAUGUGAAAAGGCCCAUUUGAUGCCUUCCUGCCAUCAAUCAAAUAGAUAAUGAGAUGUGAGGACAAUUUGACUGCAAUAUCUUUCACCCCAUCAAUCACCUGGAUUGAUUCAGUUGAUGGCUGACCAAAAAGCACUUCAGCUCCAGUGCUGCCCUGGAAGUAGUUAUCUGAGGUGUGAUGGGAGCCAUCAGGCUCCAUGGCUG
rnacentral:lncRNA from 11 species